rnacentral:rRNA from 1 species
CCUUAUUUAAUUGGUAGGAGAGCGUUCUUAUCAGCGAUGAAGGUAUACCGUGAGGAGUGCUGGAGCGAUAAGAAGUGAGAAUGCCGGUAUGAGUAGCGCAAGACAGGUGAGAAUCCUGUCCACCGUAAGACUAAGGUUUCCAGGGGAAGGCUCGUCCGCCCUGGGUUAGUCGGGACCUAAGGAGAGGCCGAAUGGCGUAUCCGAUGGACAACAGGUUGAUAUUCCUGUACUAGGUUAUAUAGUGAUUGGAGGGACGCAGUAGGCUAAGGUAAGCCAGUUAAUGGAUUCUGGUCUAAGCAGUGAGGUUUGGUAUGAGUCAAAUGCUUGUACCUAUAAGAUUGAGCUGUGAUGGGGAAGCACUUUCGAGUGCGAAGUACCUGAUGUCACACUGCCAAGAAAAUCUUCUAGCGUUUAAUUAUAACCUACCCGUACCGCAAACCGACACAGGUAGUCGAGGCGAGUAGCCUCAGGUGAGCGAGAGAACUCUCGUUAAGGAACUCGGCAAAAUGACCCCGUAACUUCGGGAGAAGGGGUGCUCUACAUUUGUAGAGCCGCAGUGAAUAGGCCCAAGCGACUGUUUAUCAAAAACACAGCUCUCUGCUAAAUCGUAAGAUGAUGUAUAGGGGGUGACGCCUGCCCGGUGCUGGAAGGUUAAGAGGAGUGCUUAGCGUAAGCGAAGGUAUGAAUUGAAGCCCCAGUAAACGGCGGCCGUAACUAUAACGGUCCUAAGGUAGCGAAAUUCCUUGUCGGGUAAGUUCCGACCCGCACGAAAGGCGUAACGAUUUGGGCACUGUCUCAACGAGAGACUCGGUGAAAUUUUAGUACCUGUGAAGAUGCAGGUUACCCGCGACAAGACGGAAAGACCCCAUGGAGCUUUACUGCAAGUUGAUAUUGAGUAUCUGUUGCACAUGUACAGGAUAGGUAGGAGCCAUUGAUCUGAGGACGCUAGUUUUCAGUGAGGCGAUGUUGGGAUACUACCCUUGUGUCAUGGCUACUCUAACCCGCAUGCCUAAUCGGCAUGGGAGACAGUGUCUGCUGGGCAGUUUGACUGGGGCGGUCGCCUCCUAAAGAGUAACGGAGGCGCUCAAAGUUUCCCUCAGCAUGGUUGGAAAUCAUGCGUAGAGUGUAAAGGUAUAAGGGAGAUUGACUGCGAGACUUACAAGUCGAGCAGGUACGAAAGUAGGACUUAGUGAUCCGGUGGUACCGCAUGGAAGGGCCAUCGCUCAACGGAUAAAAGCUACCCUGGGGAUAACAGGCUUAUCUCCCCCAAGAGUUCACAUCGACGGGGAGGUUUGGCACCUCGAUGUCGGCUCGUCGCAUCCUGGGGCUGUAGUCGGUCCCAAGGGUUGGGCUGUUCGCCCAUUAAAGCGGCACGCGAGCUGGAUUCAGAACGUCGUGAGACAGUUCGGUCCCUAUCCGUCGCGGGCGUAGGAAAUUUGAGAGGAUCUGCCCUUAGUACGAGAGGACCGGGGUGGACUUACCGCUGGUGUACCAGUUGUCUUGCCAAAGGCAUCGCUGGGUAGCUAUGUAGGGAACGGAUAAACGCUGAAAGCAUCUAAGUGUGAAACCAACCUCAAGAUGAGAUUUCCCAUUCUUUAUGAAUUAAGAGCCCUGAGAGAUGAUCAGGUAGAUAGGCUAGAAGUGGAAGGACAGUGAUGUUUGGAGCGGACUAGUACUAAUAGCUCGAGGGCUUUACCA